rnacentral:rRNA from 1 species
UGACAAGAAAUACCGAUGCGGGACCCUACGGGUGCCGCGUUCGGAAUGAGUACGAUUCGAACCACCUAACGAGGAACGAUCGGAGGGCAAGUCUGGUGCCAGCAGCCGCGGUAAUUCCAGCUCCAAUAGCGUACGUUAAAGUUGCUGCAGUUAAAAAGCUCGUAGUUGAACGUUCGGGUUCCGCGGGACGGGGCCGCCCCGCGAGGGACGGCGCCGCCCCGGGGCUCGUGAUAUCUUAUCUCGCCGCCCGUCGCGAGGCGGACGGAGGGAUGGAUGAGGUUACCUGGAAAAAAUCGGGGCGAUCUAGGCGGGCGAACCUCGCCAACGAACGAUCGGACAUGGGAUAACGGAAGAGGGCGUCGGCUCGACUUCGUCGGUUCCUCGGGGCCGAGGCACGUACGGUGAAUAGGGACGGUCGGGGGCCGCCCGUACCGGGGUCGUGAGAGGUGAAAUUCUAGGAUCGACCCGAGACGAACUGCCGCGAAAGCAUUCGGCAAGG